rnacentral:misc_RNA from 1 species
UACGUAGGUGGCGAACGUUAUCCGGAGUUACUGGGCGUAAAGGGUCCGCAGGCGGAUGGGCAAGUCUGACGUGAAAUCUUCCGGCUCAACUGGAAGGGGUCGUUGGAAACUGCUCAUCUAGCAUCCCGCAGAGGUCGGUGGAAUUCCCGGUGUAGUGGUGGAAUGCGUAGAGAUCGGGAGGAACCUCGAAAGCGAAGGCAGCCGGCUAGGCGCGGAUGGACGCUGAGGGACGAAAGCGUGGGGAGCGAACAGG